rnacentral:lncRNA from 1 species
CCGUCUCCUGCCUCCGCGCAACGGUGGACGCCGAGAGGUGCUCCCGGCCGGCGGCGCGGAGGGCGGACAGCAGCUCGGCCUCGGACGUCGGCAUGAACCAAGGGAGAUCGAGCGAGGGUUGACGAUGAACAAUCGACGAGGACUUGGUAUCUAUCGUACCUAGACCAGAAUUUGCGUGCAUGCGUGAUCCGGCCGGGGUGAAUAUAUAUAAGGGGUUGGGUUGUUUGGAUCGGUGGAUCGUAGAGAAUCCAUUCGAUGUAAAACUGAU